AGGGAAUAUUGCGCAAUGGGCGAAAGCCUGACGCAGCGACGCCGCGUGAGUGAUGAAGGCCUUCGGGUUGUAAAGCUCUGUUCUUAGGGAAAAACAAAUGAUGGUACCUGAGAAGAAAGGACCGGCUAACUUCGUGCCAGCAGCCGCGGUAAGACGAGGGGUCCAAGCGUUGCUCGGAAUUAUUGGGCGUAAAGCGGAUGUAGGUGGCUUUGUAAGUCAGGAGUGAAAUCCCUGAGCUCAACUCAGGAAGUGCUUCUGAUACUGCUUAGCUUGAGUGUGGGAGAGGAUGGUAGAAUUCCUGGUGUAGUGGUGAAAUACGUAGAUAUCAGGAGGAACACCGGUGGGGAAGCCGGCUAUCUGGCCCAACACUGACACUGAGAUCCGAAAGCGUGGGGAUCAAAC
rnacentral:rRNA from 1 species